AGGCAGCGGCCCCGGGAAGGCCCGCAAGUUCCAAGAAAGCCACGUCCAGCGAGCCUCGCCCCGGUCACUUCUCAACAGGUGGGGGGUCGAUCCGGGGCUGGGACGUUCUCAGAGACGCGACGGACCGCCCGAGGUUUGGCAGGCCCCCCAAGCACUGGAUCCGAGGCUUCUCUGUCCUUGAAAUGAGAGGUUUGGACUAGACAAUCUGGAAGACUCUCUCGGAUUCUAAACCUAUGAUUGCAUUGACUUACACUGGAGAUGACCUGGUCAGUUGGGGAUGUUUGUACCUACACUGAUAAGAGAUGGAGGGGAUGGCUGCCCACCUGGUGUUCCUGCAGAAGCCUUCCCUAUGCCCCUCCUACCUUAAUUGGGGACUCUGAAGUUUCUCAAGUCACAUCUGAAGACCAAAUUGGUUCUUCCAGCUUCCCUUCCCCUGGACUUUCCAGAGAAAGGAAAACUUUGCUGAAGGUCAUAGAGCUAAGAAGAGGCAGAGCAGAGUUUCAAACCCAAGUCUCUUUCAGUGACUAUGUUUGGAUUCCUCUCCAUCAAGAUCCACCAAGAGAGCUUCUCAAUAAAACUAGGUGUUCAUAAGAAAGCUUGAAAUAGAGCCUGGGGCAAGGCCAUCCAAGGGAGGGGGGGUCCUGGGCCUGGACAAAAAGGCCGUCCCCCAGGACUGGACCGUGUCUGAUGCGGGAGUCUAACUCCAGGCAGCCAUCCCAGUCAAGGGAAGCAACUGAUUUCCUUGUGCAGAACACAAAGGCUGGAGUUUCUCUUCUUUCCAGGCGAAAAUGUGUCUCUGUGUGUAUUGAGGGUGGAGGGAAGAUUAGCAGGGCUAUGCUCCUUGAGCCCUAGCACCAAGGGAAGAUAUUGUUCCUGUUGGGAAGAUCCAGAGGAAGUACACACCCACACAUACACAUUUUCUCUCUCUCUCUCUCUCUCUCUCUCUCU